AUUGCACGCUGGCGGCAGGCCUAACACAUGCAAGUCGAACGAGUGGCGGACGGGUGAGUAAUGUCUGGGAAACUGCCUGAUGGAGGGGGAUAACUACUGGAAACGGUAGCUAAUACCGCAUACCAUCAGAUGUGCCCAGGUGGGAUUAGUUUGUUGGUGGGGUAACGGCUCACCAAGGCGACGAUACCUAGCUGGUCUGAGAGGAUGACCAGCCACACUGUAACUGAGACACGGUCCAGACUCCGACGGGAUGCAGCAGUGGGGAAUAUUGCACAAUGGGGGAAAGCCUGAUGCAGCCAUGCCGCGUGUAUGAAGAAGGCCUUCGGGUUGUAAAGUACUUUCGGCGGGGAGGCGUUACCCGCAGAAGAAGCACCGGCUAACUCCGUGCCAGCAGCCGCGGUAAUUC
rnacentral:rRNA from 1 species